rnacentral:rRNA from 1 species
GAUGAACGCUGGCGGCGUGCCUAAUACAUGCAAGUCGAGCGGUAAGGCCCUUCGGGGUACACGAGCGGCGGACGGCUGAGUAACACGUAGGAACAUACCCCAAAGUGAGGGAUAAGCACCAGAAAUGGUGUCUAAUACCGCAUGUGGUCUUCGGAUUAAAGCUUUAUGCGCUUUGGGAAUGGCCAGCGUCCGAUUAGCUAGUUGGUGAGGUAAUAGCUCUCCAAGGCGACGAUCGGUAGCUGGUCUGAGAGGAUGAUCAGCCAGACUGGGACUGAGAACAGCCCAGACUCCUACGGGAGGCAGCAGUAGGGAAUUUUCCACAAUGGACGAAAGUCUGAUGGAGCAACGCCGCGUGCAGGAUUAAGGCCUUCGGGUUGUAAACUGCUUUUAUCUGUGACGAUUAUGACGGUAGCAGAUGAAUAAGGAUCGGCUAACUCCGUGCCAGCCGCCGCAGUAACAC